rnacentral:rRNA from 1 species
AGUGAACGCUGGCGGUAGGCCUAACACAUGCAAGUCGAACGGCAGCACAGUAAGAGCUUGCUCUUACGGGUGGCGAGUGGCGGACGGGUGAGGAAUACAUCGGAAUCUACCUUUUCGUGGGGGAUAACGUAGGGAAACUUACGCUAAUACCGCAUACGACCUACGGGUGAAAGCAGUGGAUCUUCGGACCUUGCGCGAUUGAAUGAGCCGAUGUCGGAUUAGCUAGUUGGCGGGGUAAAGGCCCACCAAGGCGACGAUCCGUAGCUGGUCUGAGAGGAUGAUCGGCCACACUGGAACUGAGACACGGUCCAGACUCCUACGGGAGGCAGCAGUGGGGAAUAUUGGACAAUGGGCGCAAGCCUGAUCCAGCCAUACCGCGUGGGUGAAGAAGGCCUUCGGGUUGUAAAGCCCUUUUGUUGGGAAAGAAAAGCAGCAGGUUAAUACCCCGCUGUUCUGACGGUACCCAAAGAAUAAGCACCGGCUAACUUCGUG